rnacentral:rRNA from 1 species
UGUGUAGGCGGACAGGUAAGUCAGAGGUGAAAUCUCCGAGCUCAACUCGGAAACUGCCUUUGAUACUAUUUGUCUUGAAUUUCGUUGAGGUUGGCGGAAUAUAUCAUGUAGCGGUGAAAUGCAUAGAUAUGAUAUAGAACACCGAUUGCGUAGGCAGCUGACUGGACGAACAUUGACGCUGAGGCACGAAAGCGUGGGUAGCGAACA